rnacentral:tRNA from 1 species
CCCGGUUUGGCCACGGCAACCGCCCGAAGGCAGGCUCAUAACCUGAAGGUCAUAGGUUCAAAUCCUAUCCCCGCAACCA